rnacentral:rRNA from 1 species
AUGGUGUUGCUUGACAUUAGGGGUAUGUUGCAGUCCAUGGGCAAAGACAUAGCCGAUUUCGCUCUUCCAUGCAUUGACGAUGCGUUCGACCCAAACGAGGGCGAGGCCAGAGAAGUGAUCGAGGAAUCCAACAUCGAUUUUGACAUCAAUGACACUAAAUUGGCAUCGUCGCUAAACUUGGAGCAGAGGAUUGCAUACGAUGAGAUACUAGCUGCUGUUGAACGCGGUGAUGGGGGUGUGUUCUUUGUUGAUGGCCCGGGAGGUAUAGGGAAGACCUUCCUGUACAGGGCACUGCUCGCCAAGGUUCGAAGCGAGGGAAACAUCGCUAUCGCUACCGCGACGUCAGGUGUCGCCGCUUCUAUCAUGCCUGGAGGCAGGACUGCCCACUCGAGGUUCAAGAUCCCAUUG